UACGUAGGGUGCAAGCGUUGUCCGGAAUUAUUGGGCGUAAAGAGCGUGUAGGCGGCCUUUUAAGUCCUGCGUGAAAUCCUGCGGCUCAACCGCAGACGGUCGUGGGAAACUGGAAGGCUAGAGUGCGGGAGAGGAGAGUGGAAUUCCCGGUGUAGCGGUGAAAUGCGCAGAGAUCUCCAAGAACACCAGUUGCGAAGGCGGCUGGCUGGGUCCACAUUGACGCUGAGGCUCGAAAGCGUGGGGAGCAAACAGG
rnacentral:rRNA from 1 species